GAUGAAGAACGUAGCGAAAUGCGAUACGUAAUGUGAAUUGCAGAAUUCCGUGAAUCAUCGAAUCUUUGAACGCACAUUGCGCCCCUUGGUAUUCCGAGGGGCAUGCCUGUUCGAGCGUCAUUAUCACCCCUCAAGCUUUGCUUGGUGUUGGGGCCUGCUGUAAUAGGCAGCCCUUAAAAUCAGUGGCGGUGCUUCAAGGCUCUAAGCGUAGUAAUUCUCCUCGCUAUAGUGUCUAGUGGUUGCCAGCCAGAACCCCCCAAUUUUCAUGAUUGACCUCGGAUCAGGUAGGGAUACCCGCUGAACUUAAGCAUAUCAAUAAGCGGAGGA
rnacentral:misc_RNA from 1 species